GAGAAAACUCACAAGGACUGCUAACCCACGUCUCCGUACUUAAAACUACGAUUUUCUCA
rnacentral:tRNA from 1 species